GUCUUUUGUGUUUUCUAGAUCAUCUGGCAAAGAGAUUUGCAGAGUGUCGGGUGACCGGCAAAGAGAUCUGCAAAGUGUCAGUUGAAGACGACGGGAGGGGUCGCAGAGGUAGCAACGACUGGAGUAUAACAUGCAGGAGAUCAUCAUCUGGCAAAGUUCUGGCAAAGAGAUUUGCAGAGUGUCGGGUGACCGGCAAAGAGAUCUGCAAAGUGUCAGUUGAAGACGACGGGAGGGGUCGCAGAGGAAUUAGUGACUGGAGAAUAGCAUGCAGGAGUGGGUGAUCCCUCAAUAGCUGCCCUGGGAGGAGAGCUGCGGACACAUGCUUCACGUGUUGGAACAUAUGCAUUACCUAUUAGGAGAUGCGGUAACGAUGCCGGCUGCCGGGUUUAUGGCAGUCAGAAUACUGACA